ensembl:snRNA U6 U6 spliceosomal RNA
AUGCUCGUUUUGGCAGCACAUACACUAAAAUUGUAACGAUACAGAGAUUAGCUAUGGCACCUGCGCAAGGAUAACACGCAAAUUCGUGAAGCGUUCUAUAUUUUU